UUUAUGGAGAGUUUGAUCCUGGCUCAGGACGAACGCUGGCGGCGUGCCUAAUACAUGCAAGUCGAGCGGAUCUUCAAGGGAGCUUGCUCCUAAGAAGGUUAGCGGCGGACGGGUGAGUAACACGUAGGCAACCUGCCCUCAAGACCGGGAUAACAUUCGGAAACGAAUGCUAAGACCGGAUACGCAAGAAGGAGGCAUCUUCUUCUUGGGAAACACGGCGCAAGCUGUGGCUUGAGGAUGGGCCUGCGGCGCAUUAGCUAGUUGGCGGGGUA
rnacentral:rRNA from 1 species